rnacentral:rRNA from 1 species
AACGGAAGCUAAUACCGGAUGAUGACGUAAGUCCAAAGAUUUAUCGCCCAAGGAUGAGCCCGCGUAGGAUUAGCUAGUUGGUGAGGUAAAGGCUCACCAAGGCGACGAUCCUUAGCUGGUCUGAGAGGAUGAUCAGCCACACUGGGACUGAGACACGGCCCAGACUCCUACGGGAGGCAGCAGUAGGGAAUAUUGGACAAUGGGGGAAACCCUGAUCCAGCAAUGCCGCGUGAGUGAUGAAGGCCUUAGGGUUGUAAAGCUCUUUUACCCGGGAUGAUAAUGACAGUACCGGGAGAAUAAGCUCCGGCUAACUCCGUGCCAGCAGCCGCGGUAAUACGGAGGGAGCUAGCGUUGUUCGGAAUUACUGGGCGUAAAGCGCACGUAGGCGGCUAUUCAAGUCAGAGGUGAAAGCCCGGGGCUCAACCCCGGAACUGCCUUUGAAACUAGAUAGCUUGAAUCCAGGAGAGGUGAGUGGAAUUCCGAGUGUAGAGGUGAAAUUCGUAGAUAUUCGGAAGAACACCAGUGGCGAAGGCGGCUCAC